rnacentral:lncRNA from 10 species
UUUCUUUCAUCUACGAAACGGGAGGUUGUGGAGCUUAAAUUAACUCAUGUCUUCCGAAGAGCUUGGAACAGUGCCCGGCACAUGCUUCGUUUAGGUAGAAGGACAACCCCCUGAAGUGGAGGAGACUUGGGCCAGACUAGACUAGCCAGGAUGGAGGAAGAGCCAGAAUAAUCCUUAAGGAGGGAAAGGCAGGGCACAGCUGGCCCAAAGAGUGAUGUGAGACCACGCAACAGAUAGGAACCAAGUUCUGGGGACAGCAGAUGCAGAAUCGGGAGUGGUGAAGCCUGCCUAGUGGAUGCUGGUUCAGAACAGAAGACUCAGACCAACGCUAAGAACCAAGGAAGAGGACGAAGGUCUGCCUGUUGGGACCAGAAGCACAUCCAGCUGCUGCCAGAAAUCCCCACCUGACCCUGCUUUCGGGCAGGGAGCUGGGCCCCCUCGUGCUGCAGAACCCUCCACCCACCAGCGCCUGGCCACUCCCAAACCAGCUGCAGAGGCUUGGAGAGGACACUUCAUAAGACAAAGUGUACCCAACUCAAAAAGGGCGUGCUGCCACAUCCAGCUGUCUUCCGGAAAGAACCAGAUCAACUGCUACUCUGCUGAAGAUGGAAAAAAUCCCAUUAAUUUCCUGAGUCUGGACACAGCCCCAGAUGACUGAAGCGUCAAUCUCCCAGCCUCUGUGCAAUGGAGCUAACCCCCUCCCGAUCCUUUCUCUAAUCCAGGGUUUCUCAACCUUGCCACUGACAUUUUGGGCCAGAUAAUUGUAUGUUGAAAGGACUGUCCUGUGCCUCAUAGGAUGUUGAGCAGCAUCCCUGGCCUCUACUCAUUAGAUGCCAGUAGCAGCUCACCCACCCAACUGUUAUAGCCACAAGUGUCUCCAGACAUUGCCAAAUGUCUCCUGGGGUCAGUAAGACAACAGAUUGCCCCCAGUUAGGAUUACAGUAAAAUUGCCCCCAGGUAAGAACCAUUGCUCAAAUCUUAAGCAUAGCUUGAUCCGGAGCUGUUCGAUGUUGCAGGAUAAUAACCCCUACACUGGACAUUACUUAUCCACACUGCAGGCUUCUAGUGAUCAGUAACUCACAUGGAACACUUAUUAAGUGCCAGGCAUCCCACAUCUAACAUAGAUCAACUCACUGACUCCUCACAGCAGCCCUUUGGGGCAGGUACUCUUAUUACUCCAUUUUACAGAUGAGGAGACUGAAGCACAAGAGGUUCGAUGAGUUACUCAGGGUUAUGCUGUUGACAAACUACCCCAGAAAGCCAGGCUCUCUGCAGGGCAUGUGCCCGCAUUUAUGUGCUCAUUGAAUCCUAACUACUUUACAAGUCAAAGUGCCAUGAUGUGUGGAUUUCAUAGGAGGAAACGGAGGCUCAUGCAGUUUCCAUGAACUCACCCAGUAUCCCAUAGCCAUGGCAACUGGCAGAGCCAGGGUUUGAACCCAAAGCUUAUGGUGAAGCCCGUUAUCUUCCCACUACUCCUGACUGCCUUUUAGAGAUGCGCAAAUACACUUUUGGCUUGACAGAUGCUUAGAGAUUUUAUUCACAUAGAUAAUAAGUGAAGAUUUAUUGAAUAGUUAUUGAUGUCCACUCCAUGCGAGGUCCUGUAGUUAAGAACACAGGCCCUUCCUUAUCUUUUAGAGACAAUGCUGAACUAUCUAAAGAUGAUGUGAGGUCUGGAAUUUGCUUCAACCUAACCCAGGGUGUGGAGGAGUGAUUGGUGGGGGGACACAUGAAAUGGGAUGGGUGGUAAGCUGGUAACUGUGGAGGCCGGUGAUGGCUAUGUCUUUAACUCUUGUGAUAUUUUCCAUCUUACGAUGACUUUUAAAGUGUGAACACUGAAUUCUUGUCUGGGUUUAUGCCCUGGCUUCACCACCCAGGGUGUCAUCUUGAAUACUUUUCUUUGCUUCUCUAGACCUUGGUUUCCUCCUCCCUAAACUGAGCAUAAUCAUUUCCAGCUGACAGGGUUGUUGUAAGGAUUGAGUAAGAUGACCCAGGACAGUAUGUGGACCACCUGCACAGAGUGAGGACCUGGCCAAUAGCAGGACUCCUCAGGGCUCAUAGCAGCUCCUCUGACAUCGCUACAAGGACUUCACUGUCUGCAAGUAGACAGGGAAGACAGCCUCAUUCCAGAACCUCACCCUAGCAGUAUCCUCAGUCUACCUCCAGCCCAGAUUGCGAGGGCGGCCCUAAGCCUUGUGAUGGCCCUGGAGGGAGUCUGAGCUACCCAGACAGCAGGAUGGAGACAAAACUUCUAAUCCCCAUGAAGGACUCUGAGUUCGUGCAAGCCCUCCACCCCUCGGCACCAGCUGUGAAAAGGCCUCAUCUGGAAUUCCUGGUGGUUGAGCAGACAGCAAGGUCCUUGCUGAAGCCACAGAUGAGGGGACCCUCCCACCCAUUCAGCCCUUUCCCCUUGCUUCCUCUGCACUCUUGAGGGGCUGGCCCCCUUCUCUCAUCAGCUGUCUGGGCUGGUUGAAUUAUUUCAGUGUUCUCGGACUCUCAGGAGUUGGCAUAGAGCGUUGGAAGCCCUCCAGGAAUUCCAGCUGGGUAUGGAGCAUGGAUGAACUUGGCAGGUCACCUACUUCCUACUCAGUGCCUGUCCACUUCCCCUGGGCUGACAGGAAGGGAUAGGGAUUGUCUCAUGAUUGGAGGGUGUCUUCUUGGGGACUGGGCCUCCAUUCGGCAAAUAUUCCAUGAGUUGUCCUCCGUGUCCCAGACUUCCUUACAGUAGUAAGUUGCAGCCGUGUGACUAAUCCCCAUCAAUGGGCUGUGAGAGGAAAUGACACGUGUAACUUCUGGGCCACGGCGGUUAACAGCCAGAGCGCCUUGGCCUCCCUCCUCUUCCCCAGAUGCAGUGACCUUGGGGGCCAUGCAUUCCAAAUGACAUGGGACCGCAAUGGAGGAAACAAACCUUUAUUGUCUAGCACUGCUGAGCUUGGGGGUUUAUCUGCCUCUGCAGCAGAGCCAAGCCUAACCUGACUAAUAACAGGGCCUGUUGAAAAUAUCAUUUCAACCUCCAGGGUCUGGGGUCUAAAGGUCAGCCAUGCAGGCAGGCAGGCAUCGACCAUGACUCCCCAGUAAAAACUCAGAACACCAAGGCUCAGGUAAGCCCCCCGGUUGGCAAUAUUCUGCUUAUUGUCACACAUCAUACCUGGAGGAGUCAGCCCUGUCUGUGACUCCACAGGCAAUGAACAAUGGGAGCUCUGACAUUGGAACCCUCUUGGGUUCUACCCCACAUGUGUCUUCCUUGAUUUGAUCUGUAUCCUUACACAGUAAUAAACCAUAACCAUGGGUAUAAACACUUUCAGUGACUUCCAUGAGUCUUUCUAGCAAAUGGUCAAACCUGAGAAUGGCCUUGGGAAUGAACGCCCAAACUCCACAGUUAGAAGUGAGGGUGGUCUGUGGACUGCCCCCCUGACUUCAAGCUGCCUUUGCUUUCCCUCAUGAAAGACCUGGAGCCAAAGGUGGCACCAUGUGAAUGGACCUUGCCAGACCCUGGAGAUAGAUUCAUGGGCCCAUCUGUCCUCAGGGGCCAACAUCACAAAUGAGGAAAAUGAUGGAGACUCUCCUUUGACAACACUGGGUCAUCUGACAGAGUCUGAUGAACUUGCAGCCCCAUCUGGAUGUUCAGGUCACAUCUGCAAGGGGUCUGGUAUGAAGAUGUUCAUUUCAGCACUGCUGGUGGGAGCGGGAGCUGGAGGGAGCUCAGGUGUGCAUCCCUCAGGGACUGGA